AUGCCGUCAUUCUCCUUCCUCGAGCUUUCGCUUUGCUUCCUCUGCUUCGUCUUGUUCUACUGCUUCCACGUCUGGUCCAAGCGCAAGAACCCGGCGCUCCCGCUGGACUGGCCGCUGCUGGGCAUGCUCCCGGCGCUCCUCGCCAACCUGCCACGCCUCCACGACUGGGUCACCUCCGUCCUCGCCGCCAGCACGCUCAGCUUCCGCCUCGCCGGCCCGCCGCGCUCGGGUAUGCAGCUCUUCUUCACGGCUGACCCGGCCAACAUCCGCCACGUCCUCACCUCCAACUUCCCCAACUACCCCAAGGGCCCCGAGUUCGCCCAGAUCAUGGACAUCCUCGGCGGCGGCAUCUUCAACGCCGACGGCGACUCCUGGCGCCGCCAGCGGGCCAAGGCGCAGCUGCUCAUCUCCGGGCCCCGGUUCCGGGCAUUCAUGUCCCGCUGCACCCGCCGCAAGGUCGAGCGCGACCUGCUCCCGCUGCUUGCCCGCGUCGCCGGAGCCGGCGCCGGUGAGUGCGACCUGCAGGACGUGUUCCUUAGGCUCACGUUUGACACCACCACCACGCUGGUCUUCGGCCUCGACCCCGGCUGCCUGGCUGUCGGCUUCCCCGAGGUGCCGUUCGCGCGCUCCAUCGACGACGCCAUGGACGUGCUCCUCGUCCGCAGCGUGCUCCCGCUGUUGUGGUGGAAGCUGGUGCGGCGGCUAGGGGUCGGGUAUGAGCGGAAGAUGACGGUGGCCUGGCGCGACAUCGACCGGUUCAUCGGCGACACGAUCGCCAAGCGGCGGGAGGCGGUGAAAGCCAGAGGCGGAAUGGAGGACUCGGCGGACCUGCUCUCCUCCUACAUCGACGACGACGAUGCCGGCGCGGUCGUCGACGCCUUCCUCCGCGACACGACCAUGAACCUCAUGCUCGCCGGCCGCGACACGACCGGCUCGGCGCUGACCUGGUUCUUCUACCUCCUCACCAGGAACCCGGGCGUGGUGUCCAAGAUCCUCGCAGAGCUCGACACCAUCAAGACCACCGCCACCACCACCCUGGACUGCAUGGUGACCUACGACCCGGACGAGCUUGGCCGGCUGGUGUACCUGCACGCGGCCCUGUGCGAGUCGCUCCGGCUGUACCCGCCGGUGCCGAUUGAGCACAAGGGCGUGGCCGCCGCCGAGGCGCUGCCGAGCGGGCACGAGGUGCGGCCAGGGGACAAGAUCCUUGUGUCGCUGUACGCGAUGGGGAGGAUGGAGGCCGUGUGGGGCAAGGACUGCCGGGAGUUCCGGCCGGAGCGGUGGAUCGGGGAGGACGGUAAGCUGCAGUACGUGCCGUCGUACAGGUUCGCCUCCUUCAACGCCGGGCCGCGGACCUGCCUGGGCAAGGACAUGGCGUUCGUGCAGCUCAAGACCGUGGCGGCCGCCGUGGUGAGGAACUUCGAGGUGGAGGCCGUGCCGGGGCACGUCGUGGAGCCCAAGAUCUCCAUCAUUCUCCACAUGAAGAACGGCUUCAAGGCCAGGAUUAAGAGGAGGCACGUGAUGAACAGCUGA
rnacentral:rRNA from 1 species